rnacentral:rRNA from 1 species
GACGAACCGUGCGAACGUUGUUCGGAAUCACUGGGCUUAAAGGGCGCGUAGGCGGCUCAUCAAGUCGGGGGUGAAAUACUUCAGCUUAACUGGAGAAGUGCCUUCGAUACUGGUGGGCUUGAGGGAGGUAGGGGUCUUUGGAACUUCUGGUGGAGCGGUGAAAUGCGUUGAUAUCAGAAGGAACGCCGGUGGCGAAAGCGAAGGACUGGACCUCUUCUGACGCUGAGGCGCGAAAGCUAGGGGAGCAAACGGGAUUAGAUACCCCGGUAGUCCUAGCCCUAAACGAUGGGUACUAGAUUGUAGACUUGACAUGGGUUUACAGUCGAAGCAAAAGUGUUAAGUACCCCGCCUGGGGAGUAUGGUCGCAAGGCUGAA